AACGUAGGAGACGAACGUUAUCCGGAGUUACUGGGCGUAAAGGGCGUGCAGGCGGCUUGAUAAGUUCGGCGUGAAAUUUCCCGGCUUAACCGGGGGAUGUCGUCGGAGACUGUCGAGCUAGAGGGUGAUAGAGGCGUGUGGAAUUCCACGUGUAGCAGUGAAAUGCGUAGAGAUGUGGAGGAAUACCGAUGGCGAAGGCAGCCCCCUGGGAUAACACUGACGCUCAUGCACGAAAGCGUGGGGAGCAAACAGG
rnacentral:rRNA from 1 species